AGAAAGUUAGUUUAAGUUUAUUAAAUAAAAUUUAAGAUUGUCAUUCUUAAGAUGCCUAAAAGGUACUUUUUG
rnacentral:tRNA from 1 species